CGGGAGGCGGAGGAGAGGUCGGAGCUGUCUCCAGGAGCCCUUAGAGACCGAGUCCCCGGCGGCGGCGGCGGGGGGAGCGCACCGGCAGAUUCAUUCCACGUCUUACAACCUGAAAACGGUGGGCCCCAGGAAGUCUUACUGGUUUCAGGUAGAAACAAUAGUUGAAGAUGUCCAGCAAAACAGCAAGCACCAACAACAUCGCCCAGGCCAGGAGGACAGUGCAACAGUUGAGAAUGGAAGCCUCCAUCGAGAGAAUAAAGGUUUCAAAGGCGUCAGCGGACCUCAUGUCCUACUGUGAGGAGCACGCCAGGAGCGACCCUUUGCUGAUAGGGAUACCGACCUCAGAAAACCCUUUCAAGGAUAAAAAAACUUGCAUCAUCUUAUAGAGGAACGCUGAAAUGGCUCCUCACCUCUUCUCAACAAAGCAAAUUUUGAGCAGCUCCUUGGAAGAAAUUUACUUUCAGCUUAUUUGGUAACCACUGCUAAUAACUAAAAUACUCUAACUUGGAAUAAUCGACUCUGACGUCUUUAUUUUCCAAGUUGCCCUUUCUCUAAAACACCUUUUACUGAUUUCAUCCAGAAUAACAGUCCUUUUUCCCAUUUGAUAACGAUGGUGUCAUAUUGGUUUGGGCCAUUGAAAAAAAGACGAUAAUAUUCUUUUAAACAUACGAAAAAGCCAGUUAUAUCCAGACCUCAGUUACCUAAGUAGCUGUCUAUAUUAAAAUGCCAAGAAUGACUUCAGUUCUAAAACCUUUACAUCCUAGUAUGUUCUUAAUAGGGUUGUGCCAACUGUACAGUGUACCUGCGUGAGGAGUGUGUUGUGUAUAUAUGUCUUUGUAUAUACACAUAUCAAUGCUUAUUUCCUUAGUAAAAUCUUUCUCCAUGCCCUCAGUUCCUCAACUUUAGAAGUCAUACCUUUGCCUUGAGCUGUAUGUAGGUGGGUAAUAUUUUUUCAUGUAGUUACUGUACAGACAGUGAAGGCCAUCCUAAAGAUUGUAGCCACUGUAAUUGAGUAGUGAAGAAAUCGUGCUGACCUCUUAAGCUAUAAUCAACAGUACCAAUUAAAAACUGAACUAAAAACCCUCUAAGGAGAUAUACACAAGGGAGCCUUUUGGGCUUCAGUGAUCCUACGUCUAGAAGGGUGGGGCUGGUCGGGGGAGGACUCUGGGCAGCUGUGGCCCUGGGGCUUGUGUUCUCUGGGUUAGAGGUAGAGACCUCGGAAAUGUCCACCCUUGUGCUCGGAGGGAGACUGUGCACGUAAGCCCCGCCCAAAGAGGAGCAGGAAAGUGUGAAAGCCAGCUGCUUUCUUAGCCAACCCUGGUGAAUUCCUCCUUGAUGCCCGGUCCAUUAUCUUUCCUCUCCUGCUCGAAUGGCUGUUUCCAGAGGUGUGGUAUCACCUCCCCAACCCCAAGUGGGUGGAACGUGGUGGGAAAGAAACAUACAAAAGCCAAAGGUAUCAGACACUACAAAUACCUGCUGGGCCGCUGUGUUGUUUCCUACCUUGUCCACAAACCCCCCAGGCAGGCUUGGAUUUGGGGGUGCAGUACCGGGGCUUCAGGGUUCCAGCAGGUGCUCAUCAGAUUCUUAAUACUCCUCUAGGCAUGAGCAGAGCCCUCACAUCCUUGGACUUGCCAGUGGCACCCGGAAGAAUCUCCUGUGGCCACAGAGUAUUUUAGUUUUAUCAAAGAAGGAGAAAGGAUCCCUUUUUUAAACAAAAAUGCUCACUUAAGGGCUCAAACCAUACACAAGCCUUUGAGCUUCUCAAUUAUCUUUAGUUCAUUAAAAUACCUACUAGUGAAGGAUUUCAAAGCUUAUUUUCAAAAAGGAUCCAACCCCAGGAUAUUACCUACAAUGGUUUCCCCUCAUUCUGUACAAUCUUGCUCUGCAACACAAGCCCCUUUUAAAAUCGAAAUGUCUGGGUUUGGAGUAUGAAGCUGAUUGUGGGGGAACAAAUGCAGGGCUGUCUUUAAACUGCUCAAAUAUAGUCGGGAUUUCCCCAGGCACCUAUCUGUUCAGCAUUGGGAACUGCCCUCACUUUUCCAACAUCAUGUGAAAAUCAUGCCACUGGCCUUAACCUCUUGUCAUCUACCGCUUGGUUUUGCAAUAGGGCCCGUUUCUAAGUAAAUUAGAGGCACCUGUUUAGGAGAGCUAAAGGUGAAAUGUGAAAUGUACACUAAAAAGACAUUACAUUUAAUGCUUCACUGAAUGAGGCCUUUCCUUUUAACAAGUAUAUUUUUCUACUGAUCGUUUCAGAAUACUAAUCUUAUUCUCAUUCUGAUUUUAACAUUUUUCUUUAAAUAUUUAUGAGGCAGUUUGUUAAAUAUUUUUAUGAAAUUUUAUUAUACCUUUUUGGCAUAUGUGCAACUUUUCAGUAGCAAGCAUAGUUUAUCUUUAGUACUAAAUUAUGUCCUUUUUACCUAACAGAAAACAAAACAUGUUUUGCUCUCUAUUUGUCAAUGUGCUUGUAGUGGUAAGGAAUGGACUCGAGGUCCCAGAAGAUUUCAUUUUUGCUGGUCAGAUAUCAUAAAGGCUAGGAGUGUGAAUGUCAUGUAACUUCCUAACUAGGUGUAGGGCAUGUUCAAGAGAAGUGAUAUCCCAUCCUUGGGUGCUGGACCCAGUGGGGGAAAAUUGUAGCUAAAUGUUGAUUGACUUUCAACUAGAUGUCUGUGUAAGAAAAUCUAUGUAUAGGAUAUGCAGAAGUCACUUUUAUUUAUCAGGCUCUAUUCAACUUAUGAACUACAAUUAAACUGUUCUUCAGUAGCUGGCUUAUAAUGGACAAAUACCCAGUAUGUGUUGUGUUGUUGUUGGCGUUGUUGUUUUUCCAACUACCACUAUAAAGACACACUUAAUCACAUAAUAUACUUGCAACUUCUUGGCUUCAUAUCUAUGAAGCUAUUUAAAUGUGUUCAUUAUUGACUUUUGUCUUUAAUGCUGCUUCUGUUAACAGUGAUCUUCUUUUUCAUUCUUAUAUGUUCAUUAGUGCAUCAGUCUAUCCAUUGAGGCCUCAGGACCGUGGCAAGAUAUGCUAGACAAAAGUUCAUGACUCCAAAGUAUUUUAUAGAAAUGCAUUAUACCAGGUCAUUCACAAGGUCUAGGUUGUAGUUACUUAUUCUUCUAAAAAGAAUCAGGGUUUUAUCUUUUCUUACCUUAUUAAAAUCGGAGUGCCAUAAUGAUCUUUUAAAGGAAGGAUCCAACUUGCUUUCUCUCUGUACUGUUUUUGUAUUUUAAACUAUUAAAAAAAAAAUUUACCAAUGUCUUAGUAAUUUUGAGGCAUAGCUCAGUUUAGGUAGUAGAAGAUAUGCUAAACUUGGCUUCGGAUGCUGCCUUCUCAGCCAGUUUACAACCAAGAUAAGCGUCGUCUAAUUAUUCCAACUAUGAGUUGAAGAUCUAUAGAGGCCCAGGAAAUGAACUAUAGUAUAUGUCAGUCCUUCUCAAUAAAAUAAAAUACUGGAGUGUGUUAUGAAUUGUAUUGAUUUCUUUUAUAGUAGAUCUGUUAAUAGGAACGAAAUACAUGAAACAUAUAGAAUUAUGUGUAGACUAAAAUAGAGCACUUAACCUAAAGUUGGGUGGCCUGGAUGGUAGCCUUGGCUUCUUUUCCAGCCAAUCCUGUGUCCCUAUGUCCUGAGACUUCAGACAAGGCACUUCAUCUCUCGCUGGGCCCCCAUUUCACCAUCUUUAAAACAGGAGGCUUAAGUAGAGGAUGGCGGAGACUCGCCCCAACCUCCCCUCAGAUGCCUCGGUCCAGUGGCCCACUCUACAGGUCCUGCCAAUGUGUUGGUGCUAUAAGCUGCUUCAAAUAUAAAAUUGGUUCGUCUAUCAUAUAUGCUCAUUUAAUAGCUUAUGAAAGGUCUUUUUGUGAUAUAACUUUUUCUAGUUUUAUGGACGUGGUAACUGUAAUGUCUUGUUUUUAGUCAUGUCAUUCUAAACAUCAUUCAUUUGAUGUUUCAGUAAUCUGCAUUUGAUACAUAGUUGGAGAGAUUUUGUUAUCUCAUAGCAUUCUUUGGCUCCUCAUCUGUCCAGCAUCUUAUUAACCUAAGCACUGUGAUCAUUGUUUGGAAAUCUGUCCUAUGGAAAAAAUAAAAGCAUUUACUUCACAUGUACUUCACAGAUUUAAAAGAAGUUUCAUUAAAACAUCAUUGUUCUCUUUACUGGAUCAGUGCCUCACUGUAUUAUCCUACCCGUGUUUUGCUCAAUAAAUUGAUAGAAGACCCA